rnacentral:rRNA from 1 species
GUGCCAGCAGCCGCGGUAAUACGGAGGAUGCAAGCGUUAUCCGGAAUGAUUGGGCGUAAAGCGUUCGCAGGUGGUUGUUCAAGUCUGCUGUUAAAGCGUGCGGCUUAACCGCAUACAGGCGGUGGAAACUGAACGACUAGAGUGCGGUAGGGGCAGAGGGAAUUCCUGGUGUAGCGGUGAAAUGCGUAUAGAUCAGGAAGAACACCGGUGGCGAAAGCGCUCUGCUAGGCCGCAACUGACACUCAGGGACGAAAGCUAGGGGAGCGAAUGGGAUUAGAUACCCCAGUAGUCCUAGCCGUAAACGAUGGAUACUAGGCGUUGUCUGUAUCGACCCGGACAGUGCCGUAGCUAACGCGUUAAGUAUCCCGCCUGGGGAGUACGCACGCAAGUGUGAAACUCAAAGGAAUUGACGG